rnacentral:rRNA from 1 species
UACGUAGGGGGCUAGCGUUGUCCGGAAUCAUUGGGCGUAAAGCGCGUGUAGGCGGUCCGGUAAGUCCGCUGUGAAAGUCGGGGGCUCAACCCUCGGAUGCCGGUGGAUACUGUCGGGCUUGAGUACGGAAGAGGCGAGUGGAAUUCCUGGUGUAGCGGUGAAAUGCGCAGAUAUCAGGAGGAAUACCGGUGGCGAAGGCGGCCUUCUGGACGAUGACUGACGCUGAGACGCGAAAGCGUGGGGAGCAAACAGG